CAGAAAGAUGUCUCAAUACUUUCCAGUAACUCCUCAGUCUCCUGUUGGGCUCACUGGGAUACACGGAGGAUUGGACAGGUGCCAGCUCAGGGAGAAAGAUAACCCUUCACCCUAAGGCCCCACAAUCAUUGUACAGGGAAGUGCAAUGCUGUGCAGAGAGGUCUCCAGCUUCCAGCCUGACAGCCCAGAAAUAAGGCGAGGAAACUACAGUUCAGACGGGCUUCGUGGGUCACGUGGCUAGUCAAUGGCUGAGCCGGGAUCUGAAAAGACACCUGGCUGGUUCCAAAAUCCAUUUUCUUUCUGCUAAACCACA